GCUGAAACUUUGAGAAGUUGUUUCCCAUUACAUAUCACAUUGCAGUAAGAUGCAAACACAGGUGUAUGAUAUCAAAGCCUAAGCUCUUCAUCUCUGUGCUAUGCCACAGUGGCAACAAUUAAUGCCUGAAGACGGUAAAUAGUAUAGCUUAAAUGCGAAAUAAAAUACAUGUUUUGCAUUAUAUUUGGGCAGUCAAUAAAUAUAUGUUGAAGGCCAAUUCACACAAACUCACUGCUAUAUUUGAUUCAGAUGGGCCUUACUUAACCACCUUCUCUAAAUAGCACCACCCUUUCCCUGAAUGUCUCUUUCAGCUGAUUUAUAUUCCCUCCUAACACUUACCACCACCUGACAUAGAUUUCGAUUUGUAAAUUCCCUUGGCAUUCGUCUUUCCCAGUCGAGUGUAAGCUCCCCGACAGGAAGGAUUCAUCUCUGGUCCACUGCAGUAGCCUUAGUGCUUGGAAUACAGCUGAGACUCAUCAAAAAUCUCCUCAACGAAACACUUAUAAAGGAAAUAGCAGUAUUCUUGCAAUUUUUAAUGUCAUAUGGCAGUUGAUGCAUUUCCAGAGAAAGAUGAGGAGUGGAAAGCUGAGAAGACAGAGACCAGUUGGAAAGUGGGGAGGGGUGGGAUAAAAACAUCACCUUGUCUUCCAAAGAUUCAUACCACCCUCUUGCGGUAAAGGCAAUCUUAUACUCCACUGGGUUGCUGUCAAAUCACCUAGUGGUCCCUUGUACCCCCUGCCCAUCAUGGUUAACCCAGCAGGGCACAGCAAGUUUCCAGGCAGGGAGCCAAUUGCAACAAAAACACAACUCAGAAAAAGAGCACAAAAUGAAGGGUUUUAAGACAGCAAUCUAACACCCAGCAAUUCCCAGGAAGCUUUUAUCUCUGCAGGCUGGAUAGAGUUUGGUUCUUGUUAGUUUUCAUGGAGCAAAGACAUCUUGUUGGCACUAGGAACUCCAGAAAGUGUCUGCCAAGUCCACGUCAGUCUUGGCCAGUUUUCAGUGAUGUGCUGCACGGUGCGUUAAACUUCAUGCUACAGGAGAGCAGCCUGCGUCCCUGUGCUGAAGCUCCAGCGCAUUUUAAAUAUGAAGUUUGGAUAACAUGGCAAAAGUUCAAGUUGAAAGAUAUUCUGUAUUCAUUUAGAAGAUGUGACUCACAAUCUGAAGUGGCUGAGAUAAACAUUUUAACAGUCACAACCACGAUGACCUUGGAAGAAGCUACCCAUUGAAGAUGGCAGGACCUGGGACUUUGGAUGACUGCUUGGUGCAGAAUACCCGACCUGCCACCACUCUCACUACCUUCAUCUGAGCAAAACCAGAAACCUCUGUGGGGUGAACCACCACGAGUUUGAGUUCUAUCUACUACCGCAGCUAAUGGUGCAUUUAUUUUUAUACUGUUGAAUCCUUUGUGGAAAUAUUUCAUUUUAGAUACUGAGUUUGAAGAAAUAUUGGUCUAGAUUCUCUUUUUUAUACUGUCUUUAUUUGGCUAUAAUAUCACAUUUAAAUGGGUA
rnacentral:lncRNA from 1 species